GGGAAGUUAGCGAAGUGGUUAAACGCAACAGACUGUAAAUCUGUCCUUAAUUGUUCAGAGGUUCGAAUCCUCUACUUCCCA
rnacentral:tRNA from 2 species